CCUACGGGAGGCAGCAGUAAGGAAUAUUGGUCAAUGGACGCAAGUCUGAACCAGCCAUGCCGCGUGAAGGAUUAAGGUCCUCUGGAUUGUAAACUUCUUUUAUCUGGGACGAAAAAAGGCGAUUCUUCGUCACUUGACGGUACCAGAUGAAUAAGCACCGGCUAACUCCGUGCCAGCAGCCGCGGUAAUACGGAGGGUGCAAGCGUUAUCCGGAUUCACUGGGUUUAAAGGGUGCGUAGGCGGGCAGGUAAGUCAGUGGUGAAAUCCUAGAGCUUAACUCUAGAACUGCCAUUGAUACUAUCUGUCUUGAAUAUUGUGGAGGUAAGCGGAAUAUGUCAUGUAGCGGUGAAAUGCUUAGAUAUGACAUAGAACACCUAUUGCGAAGGCAGCUUACUACGCAUAUAUUGACGCUGAGGCACGAAAGCGUGGGGAUCAAACAGGAUUAGAUACCCUGGUAGUCCACGCCCUAAACGAUGAUUACUCGACAUUUGUGAUACACUAUAAGUGUCUGAGCGAAAGCAUUAAGUAAUCCACCUGGAAGUACGACCGCAAGGUUGAAACUCAAAGGAAUUGACGG
rnacentral:rRNA from 1 species